UGGAAAGAGAAGAUUCUACUUCAUAGGUGGAAUUACAAGCCACCGCCUCUAUUCAGCCAUCUUACC
rnacentral:tRNA from 1 species